rnacentral:lncRNA from 1 species
GGUGGUGAGCUUUCUGGUAAAAGUAAAGAGAUAGUACCCGAGGAUCAAGAAUCGAAGUACUCAAAAUUUGACUCCCGAAAUAGUGAGUAACCUUACUACCGUCUUAAUUAUCUAAAGUAAUUUUUAUUCGUUUUUGUGAAUUUUAUGAAAAAUGAGUUUAAAUGGUAAAUCUUUAUGUUUUAUAAGCAAAAUGUGAUUAAAUGAAAUGAUUUUAUAAAAUUGUCUUGAAAUUGAAAGAUGGUUUUGAAAAUGGAGUAAUUGGAGACUAAUUGCUGUGUUAAAAAUCAUGGUUUGAAUUGAAUGGCUUAUGAUAAUAUUGGCAUGAAUGGUUGGAUUUGGUAAAUGCGUUGAAAAAGUAUGAACUGUUGAUUUGCCUUGAAAGGUUGUAAAAUAAAAUAAGUGCCAUGUCAUGCUGUUGAAUUUUAUUGAAUUGGUGGGUUAUAAUUGGUCGUUGCAGUGGACGAGUUCCGUGUACUAGCCUAUUAGAGGGGCACAGUAACCCUAUUAUAUUCAUACCUCAGUAUGAGAGGCACGGUUGGAUAACUCCUGAGGUUAAAACUUUAGAGUUCACUUCACACCAAACCACCACGUGAGAGUGAACUCAGCCAACGCCAAGGAAUGGCUAUGUUUUCAAAAUAAAAACAUGAUUUAUGCGAACAUGACUUUUUAACAGCCUUGGCGGACUUGGUUGGGAUAGCCCUCAGCCAAGGUAUCCCUGAUAACUGAGUAUGAGAAUGAUUUUGGAACAAGCCAAACUUUUCAAGAAAUCAUAAGCCUUGUUGUUUAUUUAGGUGAAAUGAAUCUAUUUUAUCUUAUUAAAAUGAGUUCGAAAUGUUGUGAAUCAUUUUUAUGCUAAUCUAUUUUAUCUGUCUCCAUUUACUCAACUUUAGAUAUUUUAGAUGGUAUAUGUUUACUCACUGGGAUUAUAUAAUCUCACCACCCUCCUUUUCACCCAUUUUAGGCUCAAGAUAGUCGGUAAAUAGCUCAUUUCGUUGAGGGCUACAGUUGGACUUGCAUCCUCAAAAACUGUAGGUUUACCGCUUUUAAUACUUUUGGUCUUUCAUGGGCCCACGUGGUAUUGUAAAUUAAAUUUUAUGCUUUGGUUAUCUAUAUUACAGUAUGUAUGAAUUUAUUUAGCUUUUACGCUACAAAAAUUAUUUAUCGGGAACUCUAUAAAUAUUAUUUUAUAAAAAUAUAGAAUAUUUUAUUGAAUAUUUUUAUUAUAUUCAAAUAGUUAUAGUUUCACUUUAAAUGAAUGUUUUAGACAUCUAAACUUAUUUUUGAUUAUGAAAUAUGUGUUUUCCACUUGCAUGCUACAUUUUUAGCUAGUUUUGAGAUUUUCGAGGAAACAUGACCAAAAUGCCCCUGUGAGAAAAAAAUUAUUUAUCUAUUGUUUUGAUUUGGAAAUAGUUUAUAGUCUCUCAAAUCAUGAUACUUAACAACUGUUGCUCACUGGGGAGGUGCGAAAACUAAUAUUAAAGCCUUGUGAGAUUUCGGUUGGCAUUCCGAGCAAUGAAUGUCUAUCAGAACGUCGCGGUGGUUGUCACAAGCUCGAGAGGAGUACCGGGUUGGGACAAGGCCACUUGUCUUUCUCCUUUUCUUGUGUAAUCCUUUUACUCUUUUGCCACCGGGAAUAGGUCCAAAAUCCUCUGAAAGAGGUCCCUUAAGUAGCCCCCAAAAGUCCUAGCUUCAAAAUCCCUUAAACUUGUUAUUUGUGGAAAUUACGGUGAAGGCUGCGGCUCUCAAUUUCCAACGUCGCAGUGCUCAAAUGUUCUGUCCAACUCUGUUCUUUUGGCACAGUACUUUCACCUUGACAAAGGUUUUUGACCACCUUCCCUUCAAAAUUGGGCAAAGUGGUAAACAUCAAAGUUGUAGCCCUAACUCUUAGCUUUCUAAUGGUUUAAAACUCAUGUCAUUUUGACUGUUGUAGUAGGAGAUAUGCUUGAAAAACCGAAACAUAUGCAAAUAGAGCAACAGCCCACUAUGUACCUUUCUUCACCAAUUGAAAUUAUGUUUUGAUCCUACUCCUAUAACGACUUAAAAUAAUUAUAAGUAACAUAAAACUAACAUCAUUAGCUCAAAUUAAACCUUUAAACAUAAGUUCUAUAUAAUACCCAAUACUUUGAUAUGGUGACUAAUAAAGCUUAUUGGAUGCCAAUUGAGGCAUAAUAAGGUAUUUUUGGUACUAAGGAG